rnacentral:rRNA from 1 species
UACGUAGGGGGCUAGCGUUGUCCGGAAUCAUUGGGCGUAAAGAGCGUGUAGGCGGCCAGAUAGGUCGGUUGUGAAAACUGGAGGCUCAACCUCCAGACGUCGACCGAAACCCUCUGGCUAGAGUCCGGAAGAGGAGAAUGGAAUUCCUGGUGUAGCGGUGAAAUGCGCAGAUAUCAGGAAGAACACCCGUGGCGAAGGCGGUUCUCUGGGACGGUACUGACGCUGAGACGCGAAAGCGUGGGGAGCGAACAGG